GACGAACGCUGGCGGCGUGCCUAAUACAUGCAAGUCGAACGCUUCUUUCCUCCCGAGUGCUUGCACUCAAUUGGAAAGAGGAGUGGCGGACGGGUGAGUAACACGUGGGUAACCUACCCAUCAGAGGGGGAUAACACUUGGAAACAGGUGCUAAUACCGCAUAACAGUUUAUGCCGCAUGGCAUAAGAGUGAAAGGCGCUUUCGGGUGUCGCUGAUGGAUGGACCCGCGGUGCAUUAGCUAGUUGGUGAGGUAACGGCUCACCAAGGCCACGAUGCAUAGCCGACCUGAGAGGGUGAUCGGCCACACUGGGACUGAGACACGGCCCAGACUCCUACGGGAGGCAGCAGUAGGGAAUCUUCGGCAAUGGACGAAAGUCUGACCGAGCAACGCCGCGUGAGUGAAGAAGGUUUUCGGAUCGUAAAACUCUGUUGUUAGAGAAGAACAAGGACGUUAGUAACUGAACGUCCCCUGAUGGUAUCUAACCAGAAAGCCACGGCUAACUACGUG
rnacentral:rRNA from 1 species